CACUGCUACCUACUGAGCAGGGUUACUUCAGUGCUUGCCAUUGUUGCAUCAGCGAUUGCGUGCCUCUGUAGCAAGUCUGUGUUAGCAUAGCAACCUGAUACACCUGUGGACACACUGAUUCAUUUGAAGUAUUACCGUUGAACCUUACUCAGCCGGAUAUUGUUUGGAAAGACCUCUUUUCUUUGUCUGUUGCCUUGUUGACAGUCUGUAGGCCCUUACAGCCCAUACUCUUACUUUAUUCAUGACUUUACAGAAUUUAUUUCUUACUUAGCUAUAAACUACAGUUGUUUAGGGUUUCAUUUGACGCAGAGGGAAAUUCUUGCGGGGUUCUGGUAGUAGGAGGCAGCAGAGUGUAAUUUUUCCUCAUAAGGACAGCUUCCAUCAUUAUGCAUUGCACUUGACAUCACACUGCAUUGCGUUUUGGGGAUUUGCUUAUCUUUAGUUGAGUGCUUAGCUCUGUGAUUUGGAGAUAACAUUUGUAUUUGGGAAAAAUAAACCUCCAGCUAAUAUUGGGCUGGUAUCAGCGUAGCCGGCAUUCAAAUAUUUUUAUAUUUCCAGUAACACUUUUCAUAUUUCAUAUCAUAUUAGACUUAAGAAAAUGUGCCAAUUUGACUGUUUAUGAUAAUGUUUGCCGGCACCGAAAUCAAUGGGAUCAUUUUUAAAAACUCUAACCUCAUUGAAGGCAUUAUUAUACAUUUUGUUACAAGAAAGACUUGCUGUGUAAUGUUUUACAUGUUAUUUAGUUACAGUGGGCUCCAGAAUUAUUGGUACCCUUGAUAAAUAUGCACAAAAAGUGCUAAAAAAAAAAAUUGCUAAACUAAAAUACAGUUAUUGACAUAAGCUUUAUUUUCCAACAUUAAAACGUGAACUAGUGUGCUUGAUUAAUGAUUCAUUGGAAUCAACCAAAGUCUUACAUUUUUUAAUUAAAAAAAAUAUUUCCUCAAAAAACAGGUUCCACACUUAUUGACACCCCUGAUUUUAAUUUGUGAAAACACCCCUGGCAAAGAUGACAGCCAUGAGUCUUUUCCUAUAAUUUGUGAUAAGUUUAGAGAACACAUUUGGAGCGAUUUUUGACCAUUGCUCCAUGUAGAACUUUUCAGAAUCAUUGAUAUCUUUGGGUUUGCGCUUAUGGACCCCCCUCUUCAGUUCAGACCACAGGUUUUUGUUGGAAUUUAAGUCUGGAGAAUGAGAUGACCAUUGGAAAUCAUGGAUAUUGAAUUGACUUAAGCAUUUUUGUUUAGAUUUGAUGUAUGCUUGGAGUCAUUGUCCUGAUGGACAAUCUACCUAUGACCAAGUCCUAGCUUCUUAGCGGAGACAACCACAUUUUCUGCCAGAAUUUCCUGGUACUUUGUUGAAUUCAUUGUGCCACUGAUCUAAAAUAGUGCCCUGGGACCACUGCCAGCAAAACAUCUCCAAAAUAUAAAUGACCCACCUCCAUAUUUGACCGUAGGUCUGAGGUGCUUCUCCUGUAUGCAUUCCUCUUUUGCCACCAAACAUGUCGAUGGUGUGUAUGGCCAAAACGUACAAUUUUGGUCUCAUCUGACAAUAGCACUCUCUUCCAGUCAUAAUUCCAAUGCGGUUUGACAAGCUCCAGAUUCUUGGUUUUGUUUAUGUGCUCAGUAAGGGCUGUCUUCGUGCCACCCUUACAAAGAGUUAGUUGGUAUGGAGGUGCCAUUUUAUGUUUUUUUUAGACUUGUUGACCAGAAGAAACAAACCAAUCUCUGCAAUUCUUAAACAGUGAUCCUUGGGUUAUUAAUGGCCUCCUUCACCAUCUUCCUCACCGUCCGUGGGGACACCAUGCACUUGCUUCCUCUUCCUGGCAAAUUUGCAACCAUUCCAUAUGUUUUACACCUUUUUAUUAUUGCCCUUACAGUGCUAAGUGGUAUGUUUAACCGUGUAUGUCUUUUUUUGUACCCAUUACCAGACUCGUGACAAUAAAUUACCAUUGUUUUCUUCUGAAUUGACAGUUAUUUGGCUUUUCCCAUGCUGAUGGAUGGCAAAGGGAUUUUGUAUGCUUGUUACCUCGUUUUUAUUCUCCAUCGAAACUGGAAGUGAUGGAAUGACACAAUAUAGUUCCUUUCGACUGAGAUGAACUAAAUUAAGUAAAAUUGUAUUGCCAAUUUCAUUUUGUUUGAUUUUACUUAAAAUAAUUGUUAGGGGUGCCAAUAAUUAUGGCACCUAUGGUUUUCAGAAAAAAUUUGAUUACUUAAUAAAAAAACAUUGCAUGACAGUAAAUGUUUUGAAAUAAAAAUAUAUAGUUUUCCCAUAUGUUUGAACAUAACAUAGAUUAUUAUCUGUGUCAUUUAUUAUAUGCAGCCUUUUUUCUUUUUUGUUAAGGGUGCCAAUAAUUCUGGAGCCCACUGUAUGUCUUCAUACUUUCAUUAACCCCUUAGCACACAUGCCAAAUCUGGCCAAUCCUUGCCCAUUUAGGGGGUACCCUAUUUAAUGCUUUAUAACUCCAGAUUUGAACACCACCCUGUAACAUUCUUUUCAUAUUAUAACAGUUUGCAAUGUAAACCCCAUGUAAGACAUAAUAGGGAGGUCAAACCUGUAGGAGCUGUUUCUGAAUUUUUUUGUUAUUGUAAAUGAAAAUUAUUAUUAAUUAAUUAAUUAUGAAAAUGUAAGCAUUAGAUUUGUGGAUUCUUUUGAUUUAUUAUAUGAUAGGCAUCUAUGCCUUAUACUUACCCUUCAAAAGACCUUACCUGGCCUGGUUACGUCAUACUUACCUGUAUAUCUCACAUGGAUAAUAAUGGUUACGGAUGUGGGAGGGCGCAAGACUGGGAAAGCAAAAAAGUUUUCUACCGCACAAUGUAUUCACCUUCACGGAACGAAGGGUAUUUUUUCGUUUUAUUUGUUGAAACUUAAAGAAAGCAAUAAAAUUAUCGUUUCAUUUUA